CGCGGGGUGGAGCAGAGGUAGCUCGUCGGGCUCAUAACCCGAAGGUCAAAGGUUCGAAUCCUUUCCCCGCCACCA
rnacentral:tRNA from 1 species